AGAGUUUGAUCAUGGCUCAGGACGGACGCUGGCGGCGCGCUUAACACAUGCAAGUCGAGCGAGAACCGGGGCUUCGGCCCCGGGGACAGCGGCGAACGGGUGAGUAACACGUGGGUAAUCCACCCUCGGCACCGGGAUAGCCCGGGGAAACUCGGAUUAAUACCGGAUAGCCCCUCCGACUCUCGGGUCGGUCGGGAAAGGUAGCUUAGGCCUCUGGCCGGGGACGAGCCCGCGGCGGAUUAGCUUGUUGGUGGGGUAACGGCCUACCAAGGCGACGAUCCGUAGCUGGUCUGAGAGGACGAUCAGCCACACUGGGACUGAGACACGGCCCAGACUCCUACGGGAGGCAGCAGUGGGGAAUCUUGCCCAAUGGGCGAAAGCCUGAGGCAGCGACGCCGCGUGAGGGAAGAAGGCCUUCGGGUUGUAAACCUCUUUUGUCCGGAAAGAAAUCGCCCGGGAUAAUACCCUGGGUGGAUGACGGUACUGGAAGAAUAAGCACCGGCUAACUACGUGCCAGCAGCGGCGGUAAUAC
rnacentral:rRNA from 1 species